UAGUAACUAUAUCAUAGAGUUAUUGUGAAGAUUAAUUGGAUUAAGGGUUGUAAAAUGUUUAAUACAAAGCCUGGUACAUAAUAAAUGCCAUGCAAGUGUUCAUUGUUUAUUAUCUUUCUUACUUUUUUUUUGUCUUCAGCUUUGGACCAUUGUCACCAAUUUUGCAGUAAUAGAAGUCCCCUUCCGCAUUCUGUUAUGUUUGAUGGAUGAAUCAUGAAACCAGCCUAAGAGAAAGGAAAGACAUUUGGAAUCGCUUAUGGUAACAGUUCUAGUUACUAUAAGCUGAGCAAAGCAAAGCUGGAGUUGAGCAAAGAAACAAACACACUGUACCUACUUGAAUGUCUCAUUAAAUAUGUUGGGAAAGUAAACCUGGGUGGGUCAUUGGUUCAUCCAUCCCUACUUAGUAAAUCAAACGGACUCUCCUUCUGGUAGAGGAGACGCUGUGUCAGAGGAAUGUGCUCAUUCAAAUCAGGAGCCAACACAUUCUUAGUAAAUGUUCCACAUGCAAUAAAGUGAAUUACUGUGCUGCGUAAGCUCUGGAAGGAUUUUUCUAACUUUCCACUGGAUAGAAAAGCUUGUUUUAUUAAUAUAUUGAAUAACAGCAUUGUGUAAACAACUCAUACUUUUUAGAUUUACUCCUGUUAAAGAAUGCCAUAGUUAAGUGCUUGGAAUUGACACUUGAAAAUGAAAUACUGCUGCAAGUAAUGGGGAAAUUGUAGAUGUAUUUUAUACCUCUCCUUUCCAAAUCAAAAGGUCUCAUAAAUACAGUCUCUAAAAGUGUCAGUGGGGGGAGUUAACCUAACUGUACAAGCAAUAAGCCUGA
rnacentral:lncRNA from 1 species